GACGAACGCUGGCGGCGCGCCUAACACAUGCAAGUCGAACGGAGCUUAGAGAGCUUGCUUUUUAAGCUUAGUGGCGAACGGGUGAGUAACGCGUGAGUAACCUGCCCUAGAGUGGGGGACAACAGUUGGAAACGACUGCUAAUACCGCAUAAGCCCACGGUACCGCAUGGUACUGAGGGAAAAGGAUUUAUUCGCUUUAGGAUGGACUCGCGUCCAAUUAGCUAGUUGGUGAGGUAACGGCCCACCAAGGCGACGAUUGGUAGCCGGACUGAGAGGUUGAACGGCCACAUUGGGACUGAGACACGGCCCAGACUCCUACGGGAGGCAGCAGUGGGGGAUAUUGCACAAUGGGGGAAACCCUGAUGCAGCGACGCCGCGUGGAGGAAGAAGGUUUUCGGAUUGUAAACUCCUGUCGUUAGGGACGAUA
rnacentral:rRNA from 1 species